CUGUAUUUGAGCUGCAGAGAGUCUCUGGCACAGGCGGCCUCAGUCCAAUUCAACUCCACACAUGGUUUGCAAAACGGAGCCCACCUCGAAGGCAUAUAGACGAGCUUCUCAUCACUCCUAAUGUCUCAUCACCGUGUUGACUGGCGUGCCUGAGGACAGAAGACAGCGUGACAUAGACACUGGCGGACCCUCAAUUUGACCUCCCAGCGGUAUGGCAGGUCUGAGUGUAUCUUCAGAGGUCAUGACCCUUCCACACCAUGAGCAGGACAAACAGGACCGAGGAGCUUCAACAACACAUGGAAUGUUCCCUUUGUUUUGUUUCUGCUACACUAAACCUGCAAAAGAAAUCAAGAAAAUCCCUCUACUACUUUAAUAAAAAUAUAUUUAUAUUUAUAUAUAUAUAUAUGUGUGUGUGUGUGUGUGUGUGUGUGUGUGUGGGUGCGUGGGUUAGAAUUUAGAAUUUUUGUGUUGUAAGAAAUGGUGAAAUCUCAACAACAUGUUUUCUUUAAACUCAGUAUGAACUGCUGUUUCACUCUCCAGUUGCUGCUUCACAAAGUGCUGGAAAUGUGAUUUAUUUUUAAGGUCUCGCUUGAACAUAUAUUUGUUUUGUCAUCUGCAAUCAAUUUGUCUGCAUUAUCUGUCCUUCCCUCACAAUAUAUUAUCACCCCGCAACUGGUUCAAUGUGGAACCGAUUGUUUCUGUAAAGCACAAACAUAAUAAAGUGUAUGAUUAAGA